AUAGAGUUACGGCGGUCCAUAGCGGCAG
rnacentral:rRNA from 1 species